UUUGGCCUGAAUUAAGAAGAAAGGGGAAUUUGUGAGCAUCUAUAAACACAGGCAUCCAGAAAAUUUGUGUUCUUCUCUUAACCUGUUUAUGGCAGUUGCUUAUUGUGUUUACAGCACUGCCUGCUGAUUUGGGACUGCUUCAUCCUAGUGCUUGCAGUCACUAGCACCCACUUGCAAAAGUGAGGUCUGCUGCUCUCCAUUUUAUUCUGACAGGAAACAUAACAACAUUCAGAGAUUGUGGCUGUUUCUACGAGUUUCAAAGCCCAUGUGUUAACUCGUGCCAGGAUAACUGCCAUUCUUGAGAGUCUGCAGACACAGCGGUGCCACUCACCAAUGCAGAUCAGAGAACACAGAUGAAGCUGGUGCAGUGUGUAUUUAUAUGCUAUUAACUCGAGAAGAGGAAAGAAGCAGAACAGUUGGGAGCUUCAAGACCUAUUAGCUGCUGGGACAGCCACUGUCUUCCAAAAGACACCACAAUAUGCUGCUAUUUAGCGUACCCAAAUGUCCAAACUAUGAAAACAAUUUAUUAGAAACUUCAUUAAACUGACAAAUAAUCAGCUGCA
rnacentral:lncRNA from 1 species